UCAGAAUAAUUGAAAGAAGAGGGAAAAAAAUAGUGAGUCCACUAACUUUUAAUCCCUGCUUUCAACUUAACUCUGCUGCCUGUUACAUAUUCUUUCCAGAGAAAAGUAGUGAAGUAUGCUACAAAACAUCCAUGUCUAAGCAGAAGCCCCAGCCAUGCUUCCAGAUGACAAUCCCUGAGCAGAGGGCACAGAAGUGCCAGGAGCCUGUUUCUGAAUUCACCCUCCCUUAGUGGAAAACUUCUGCUGGCAUUUGUUGGUUGGACUUUGGGAUUUUAUAGCGUUACUCUGCUAGCAAAGGCUAUAACAAAGGCGUCACUACAAUGGCAAAAAGUGCACUGCCAAUUUUUGUUUACUUACAGAGCUGCCAGAAGCUAUUUACACAUACAGCCACGACAGCAUUUUGCUAGGACUAGAGAUUGUCCCAGAAAAUCUGUUAUCACCAGUCCUUCACAGGACAGCUAUUCCUCCCUCUUCUACCUUCCUAGCAUCAUUUAUCACUUUGGGAGGUGGAUUUAUGGUAGCCCCGGUGCUGCUUUGAUCAUUGCUCCCCACCAAAUCAGGUAGGGUCAUUACAGAAGCUUUGCUAAAUAUUUUGGGCAUCUAUCAGCCCUGCUAGUUCCUCUCAGAGCUCUGGACGAGGUGGGCACUCUCCCAGUUACAAACAGCAACAGAGCAGUCUGCUGUGCCCAGUGCCAUGGGGCCACUAGCCUAGCAAAAAGCAGGGCCAUGCUGUGACUAAUGCAGAAAUGUAAUCCCCUCCUCCUUGAAAUUUCUCUGUGGAAGAGGAAUAAAUGCAGAAGUGCUUAUAAAAGUUAGCAUUAUAGCACUUUUCAUUUUUUUCAGGGAUAAUCUGCUUUCCCUCUAAACGCUUAGGCAACACAAUGCCUGGCUAUUCCCUAAACACCUAAAAAGCAAGUUUCUCUGCAGCCCCAUCCAAAGCAGGCCAGUUUUAUAAUACUCUCUCAGUUUGCUGCAGCUCAAGCAGCGAGAGAUGCCUGGCAGUGAGGUACUGCUGCGGCAGGUUUCUUGGGCUGGGGCUCCCGUGUUCAGCUGCAUCCCAGCAGAGGCUGGUGCUGGGCUGUGGGGAGCUGCGCGUGUCCAUGGGCUGGGGACAGGUGUCCCACAGGCAGAGCUGUAUUUGCUGCUGGCCAGACCAUGUACGUGUGCUGUUGGGAAGCAACUUGCAUGCCACAAAUGACACACAUUGAAUCCUUGCCAAAAAGCACAACCUGCCUCUGGUGCUGCUUCCCCUCCAGCAUAUGCUCUGUAAGAGCUAAUGCUGCCGCCAUGGGCUGCUGAAGUUCAAAGUAAACACUGUAAUGUGGAGAACAGGGUGACAGUGCUUUGCGUGGCAGGGACAAAUCUUAAACACUCUACACAGCUUCAGAAAGAUCUGAUUUUGGGAGUCUGCCCACAGUUCAGGAAAUACAAAACCCUGUAACUGGAGCUGCCAGCACAUGGCAUAAAGACUAUCCCGCUGGGUCUCUGUGGGUGCUCAGAGAGUAAAAACCUGACAGGGAGAUCGAUACUGGCCCCAGUCCCUCUCCCAGCUGGAGUCCCAGUCCAGUCUGGAGCAGGAAGACCAACAGGAUGUGCCCUAACAGCAUGUAGGGACAUCACAGA